UAUUAAUGCAUAAUGUCAUUUCUGGAACUCUUCCAACAGUUAUGGGUCACAAUGACAAUAUGCCACUCCAUUGGCUGAGCACUUGUUUGCAACAAUGAGCUACACAUGUUGGCCAAUACUGCCACAAUUUAACGCUUCUGUUCCUCUUGGCACAUCUGAAUGGGUGGCAUCUGGUCCAAAUUUUGGGUCCCUUUGAGGAUGCGUGAUAGGUAACUCUCAUCUGGAUAGCAGAGACACUUGACCAGCCAAUUACGUAUUCUGGAAUCCAGGAAGUUUAUGUAGGGAGCUUAAACGGAAGAUGCGUCUGAGAAACUCCCAUCAAGAGCACAUCCCAGCUUUUCAACGAUUGUAUAAGCCAGCGUUUGUUAAGUGCUUCCUCUGUCCCAGGAACUCUUUCAAGUGUUUUACGUGUAGUAACUCUUUUCAUAUAUGACCAUCUUAUGAAAUGGGAUCCCAUGGUAACGACCAGAGGGUACAGGAGAGUGAAAUGUUGACACUGGAUUGGAAAGUUUGCUGAGUAAGGCCUGGUAUCAAAAGAAAGCCAGAAUCGGAAAACCUCCAUCAGCUCACUCAGUCUCCUCUUAGCGUUCAAUCCCCUGACUGCAGGAGAUGCACUAGACCCUUUCAAUGAAGUCAUGGAAUCUUUGACAGAUUUUUCCAACCACUCUGUCAUUUCCUUCAGCAACAAGAUGAUUCUCAAAGCUGCAGGACACCGUCUACAUAACCUCCAAUGAAUCUUUGCUACCUUAACUGCUGCUAGCCCAUCUCUGAACCUUACCUCAGCAUUUGGGGAUCUGCUUCUUGCCAGCAGAAUUCCAUGAAGCCAACUGUCUUCCAAUCUGUUCCUGGACUCCCGUCACUGGUCUCUGCCUAUCUGCAAUAAUACUG
rnacentral:lncRNA from 1 species